AUACGGAGGAUGCGAGCGUUAUCCGGAUUUAUUGGGUUUAAAGGGUGCGUAGGCGGCCUUGUAAGUCAGCGGUGAAAUUUUGCAGCUUAACUGUAAAAGUGCCGUUGAUACUGUGAGGCUAGGAUUUGGUUGCUGUGGGUGGAAUGUGUGGUGUAGCGGUGAAAUGCUUAGAGAUCACACAGAAUAUCGAUUGCGAAGGCAGCUCACAAAGCCAAGAUUGACGCUGAGGCACGAAAGUGUGGGGAUCAAACAGGAUUAGAUACCCUGGUAGUCCACACUGUAAACGAUGAUAACUCGCUGUCGGCGAUAUACAGUCGGUGGCCAAGCGAAAGCGAUAAGUUAUCCACCUGGGGAGUACGGCCGCAAGGUUGAAACUUAAAUGAAUUGACGGGG
rnacentral:rRNA from 1 species